rnacentral:rRNA from 1 species
GAUGAACGCUGGCGGCGUGCUUAACACAUGCAAGUCGAACGGAAAGGCUCCUGCUUGCAGGGGUACUCGAGUGGCGAACGGGUGAGUAACACGUGGGUGAUCUGCCCUGCACUUCGGGAUAAGCCUGGGAAACUGGGUCUAAUACCGGAUAGGACCACAUUUUGGAUGGUGUGGUGGAAAGUUUUUCGGUGUGGGAUGAGCUCGCGGCCUAUCAGCUUGUUGGUGGGGUAAUGGCCUACCAAGGCGUCGACGCGUAGCCGGCCUGAGAGGGUGUACGGCCACAUUGGGACUGAGAUACGGCCCAGACUCCUACGGGAGGCAGCAGUGGGGAAUAUUGCACAAUGGGCGCAAGCCUGAUGCAGCGACGCCGCGUGGGGGAUGACGGCCUUCGGGUUGUAAACUCCUUUCGCUAGGGACGAAGCGUUUUUGUGACGGUACCUGGAGAAGAAGCACCGGCUAACUACGUG